rnacentral:rRNA from 1 species
UACGUAGGGGGGCUAGCGUUGUCCGGAAUCAUUGGGCGUAAAGCGCGUGUAGGCGGUCCGGUAAGUCCGCUGUGAAAGUCGAGGGCUCAACCCUCGAAUGCCGGUGGAUACUGUCGGGCUAGAGUGCGGAAGAGGCGAGUGGAAUUCCUGGUGUAGCGGUGAAAUGCGCAGAUAUCGGGAGGAACACCAAUGGCGAAGGCAGCUCGCUGGGACGGUACUGACGCUGAGACGCGAAAGCGUGGGGAGCAAACAGG